GUGACCUUGUUACAUCCAGAUGGCUCUGUGCUGAUGUCCCUUGAGACGGCCGUCAUUCUAGCCCCUAGGGUGACCACCCUUCUUGUCUUGCUCUAGAAACAGAAGUGACAUUGCACAACAUAAUUUUACUAAAUAUGUUUCAGCAUAAUUAUGGAAGUUUCUGCUUUUGCUCACCACUGGACUGUUUCCUUUCCAAUACCUCUGAUGUUUAAUCCCACUUUAAUGCAGUACAACAUGAAACGCAGAGAAAUCAGUCCCCCCAAAACACCCUUUUUAAAUGCAGCACAGGAAGGAUCAUGCAAGAAGCUGGCAUACCGGAUACAACAGGACCAUCAGUUGUCAAGAUGAACAAUGAUGAAGACAGAAUUAUCCUUCCGUGAUCACUGUAUCUCACCCAGCCAGCCACGUUUAGCCUCAACAUUAGGACCUUCAGCAUUGUGAGCGAAACAUCUCCUCUUGAUCUGAGUACCCACCACAAGCCCCCUGUCCUGGAAAGUUAUCUAUGUAUUGAUACUUCGGGCCAGAUUACAAAAGUUGCUCUCAGUGUAAGUGACAUGUGAUGUAAAGUCUAUCUAUAAACAGGCUUACACUAAGGGCCAGAUUCGAAAAGAUCUGCUUUGAACAAAUCUUUUGAAAUAUUGGCCUGUGAUGUAAUCAAUGCAUGCUGCACAUUUUGUCUGUUUAAUUGGCAUUUGAUUGAUAAAUAAAAGUCUGUUUGAUACAACUUA